rnacentral:rRNA from 1 species
GCGUAAAGAGCUCGUAGGCGGUUUGUCGCGUCUGCUGUGAAAUCCCGAGGCUCAACCUCGGGUCUGCAGUGGGUACGGGCAGACUAGAGUGCGGUAGGGGAGAUUGGAAUUCCUGGUGUAGCGGUGGAAUGCGCAGAUAUCAGGAGGAACACCGAUGGCGAAGGCAGAUCUCUGGGCCGUAACUGACGCUGAGGAGCGAAAGCAUGGGGAGCGAACAGGAUUAGAUACCCUGGUAGUCCAUGCCGUAAACGUUGGGAACUAGAUGUGGGGACCAUUCCACGGUCUCCGUGUCGCAGCUAACGCAUUAAGUUCCCCGCCUGGGGAGUACGGCCGCAAGGCUAAAACUCAAAGGAAUUGACGGGGGCCCGCACAAGCGGCGGAGCAUGCGGAUUAAUUCGAUGCAACGCGAAGAACCUUACCAAGGCUUGACAUAUACCGGAAACAUGCAGAAAUGUGUGCCCCGCAAGGUCGGUAUACAGGUGGUGCAUGGUUGUCGUCAGCUCGUGUCGUGAGAUGUUGGGUUAAGUCCCGCAACGAGCGCAACCCUCGUUCUAUGUUGCCAGCACGUAAUGGUGGGAACUCAUAGGAGGCUGCCGGGGUCAACUCGGAGGAAGGUGGGGAUGACGUCAAAUCAUCAUGCCCCUUAUGUCUUGGGCUUCACGCAUGCUACAAUGGCCGGUACAAAGGGCUGCGAUACCGUAAGGUGGAGCGAAUCCCAAAAAGCCGGUCUCAGUUCGGAUUGAGGUCUGCAACUCGACCUCAUGAAGUCGGAGUCGCUAGUAAUCGCAGAUCAGCAACGCUGCGGUGAAUACGUUCCCGGGCCUUGUACACACCGCCCGUCAAGUCAUGAAAGUCGGUAACACCCGAAGCCAGUGGCCUAACCGCAAGGGAGGAGCUUCGAAG